UACAGAGGGUGCGAGCGUUAAUCGGAAUUACUGGGCGUAAAGCGUGCGUAGACGGUUAUUUAAGUCGGGUGUGAAAGCCCCGGGCUCAACCUGGGAAUUGCAUUCGAGACUGAAUAGCUAGGGUACGGUAGAGGGAAGUGGAAUUUCCGGUGUAGCGGUGAAAUGCGUAGAUAUCGGAAGGAACACCAGUGGCGAAAGCGGCUUCCUGGUCCAGCACCGACAUUCAGGCACGAAAGCGUGGGGAGCAAACAGG
rnacentral:rRNA from 1 species